UGAGGAAUAUUGGUCAAUGGGCGCAAGCCUGAACCAGCCAAGUAGCGUGCAGGAUGAAGGCCCUAUGGGUCGUAAUCUGCUUUUAUGUGGGGAUAAAUUCAAUCACGUGUGAUUGUUUGCAGGUACCACAUGAAUAAGGACCGGCUAAUUCCGUGCCAGCAGCCGCGGUAAUACGGAAGGUCCAGGCGUUAUCCGGAUUUAUUGGGUUUAAAGGGAGCGUAGGCCGCCUCUUAAGCGUGUUGUGAAAACCGGGCGCUCACCGUCCGGCUUGCAGCGCGAACUGGGGGCUUGAGUGCGUGCGACGCCGGCGGAAUUCGUCGUGUAGCGGUGAAAUGCUUAGAUAUGACGAGGAACUCCGAUUGCGAAGGCAGCUGGCGAGUGCGCAACUGACGCUAAUGCUCGAAGGCGCGGGUAUCGAACAGGAUUAGAUACCCUGGUA
rnacentral:rRNA from 1 species